rnacentral:lncRNA from 1 species
CAAAUAGAGAGAUAGAUAGUAAUAACCACCAUACAGCCAAAGAGAGAGAUAGAGAGUAAUAACCACCAUACAGCCAAAGAGAGAGAGAUAGAGUAAUAACCACACAGCCAAAGAGAGAUAGAGAGUAAUAACCACCACACAGCCAAAGAGAGAGAGGUAAAGAGUAAUAACCACCAUACAGCCAAAGAGAGAGAGAUAGAUAGAUAGAGAGUAAUAACCACCAUACAACCAAAGAGAGAGAGAUAGAGAGUAAUAACCACCACACAACCAAAGAGAGGGAUAGAGAGUAAUAACCACCAUACAGCCAAAGAGAGAGUUAGAGAGUAUAAUAACCCAACACAACAAAAGAGAGAUAGAGAGUAAUAACACCAUACAGCCAAAGAGAGAGUUAGAGAGUAAUAACCACCAUACAGCCAAAGAGAGAGAAUAGAGUAAUAACCACCCAUACAGCCAAGAGAGAGUUAGAGAGUAAUAACCACCACACAAACAAAGAGAGAGAUAGAGAGUAAUAACCACCACACAAACAAAGAGAGAGAUAGAGAGUAAUAACCACCACACAGCCAAAGAGAGAGAUAGAGAGAUAUAACCACCAUACAGCCAAAGAGAGGAUAGAGAGUAUAACCACCAACAAGCCAAAGAGAGAGUUAGAGAGUAAUAACCCACACAGCAAAGAGAGAGAUAGAGAGUAAUAACCACCAUACAGCCAAAGAGAGAGAUAGAGAGUAAUAACACCAUACACCAGCCAAAGAGAGAGAUAGAGAGUAAUAACCACCAUACAGCCAAAGAGAGAGAUAGAGAGUAAUAACCACCACACAGCCAAAGAGAGAGAUAGAGAGUAAUAACCACCAUACAGCCAAAGAGAGAGAUAGAGAGUAAUAACCACCAUACAGCCAAAGAGAGAGUUAGAGAGUA